GACGAACGCUGGCGGCGUGCCUAAUACAUGCAAGUCGAACGCAGUGGGGACGGGUGAGUAACACGUGGGUAACCUCCCAUCAGAGGGGAUAACACUUGGAAACAGGUGCUAAACCGCUACUGAUGGAUGGACUCGCGGUGCAUUAGCUAGUUGGUGAGGUAACGGCUCACCAAGGCCACGAUGCAUAGCCGGCCUGAGAGGAUGAUCGGCCACACUGGAAAUGAGACACGGCCCAGACUCCGACGGGAGGCAGCAGUGGGGAAUAUUCGGCAAUGGGCGAAAGUCUGACGGAGCCACGCCGCGUGAAUGAAGAAGGUUUUCGGGUUGUAAAGCUCUGUUGUUAGAGAAGCGGUAUCUAACCAGAAAGCCACGGCUAACUACGUGCCAGCAGCCGCGGUAAUUC
rnacentral:rRNA from 1 species